UUUUUUUUUUUUUUUUUUUUUUUUUUUCUGAGAGGCUGAGAGAGGGAGAUUGAGAGAUGGGGAGAGGAAGAGGGAGAUCAGAGAGGGAGAGGGAGAAGUUUAUGGUGGGUCAGCCACCGCUGGGCAGGACGCCGACACCUGCAGGUCACGACCGACGCGGGCGACGCUAGAGAGGGGUUUUUUCGGCAUUUUCCCGGAGCCCAAACAAUGAGGAUCCGAUUUUGGCUGCUUCUGCAAGUUCUGAUAUGUAUGGAUAUGCAGUUUUGGAUGCAUGUGAGCAGAUAAAGGCACGUAUGGAGCCCAUUUCUUCACAAAAUAAUUUCAGCUCGUUUGCUGAGGUACCUUCAUUUUCAUAAUUUUGCAUAAAAAUUACUGCACCGUUAUCCUUGGAUGAAUGGUUAAGUUCCUUUUAUAGUGUACGAUCUGUUUCUUUUUAUCCUUUUCUUCCAAGAGCAAUAAAUAAAUGGUUAAGGAAA